CAGUAUUUGCUAGCCUGUUUGUUUUUCUAUGGGUCUCUCGCGGCCCUUAAUAUAUAGCGGAUUUAUAGUGGACCCCGACACACGCAAUAUAUCGAAUGGAUGGUGUAUAUUCUCCUUCAUCUGCCUCCUCAUCUUCAUACUCUACUACACGAGGAACUUUGGACUCUGUCACCACCGUAACCCCGAGGAUAAAUGAACAUGAACCACAAACCAAGUCUGCCCUUUUUGACGUGCUGAGAGUACGGAAGCGCGGUUCCAGGAUUGAGAACGGCCGGGAGAAAACAACCUGGGAGGAAUGGAAAAAAAAAAAAAAAAAAAAAACACGAAACCACAGAGAGACAUAGUGAUAGCGGGGAAAUCUUGGGCAGAACCCUGAAGUAUUGUGGCUAGUAGGAGAAGUGAGCGGGGAGUGUAGGUCAGUGACCCGGGUAGCAACGAUCGGGGUAAAGCUGCCAAGUGCAGCACCUUUUAUUUCUAGUUUUACUACCGUGUUUUAUUUUCCCUUUUUCUUUCGCCUUUUGUUUUCAUUAUUAUUUGAGCACCUACAAGUGCACCCGCAGUUGAUUCCCGUACCAGUAUCGGUAUUUCCGUGGUCCUGUCUAUCAUCAGUGAUAGUCAGGCCACGGACAACAGCACCCUCUGCGGGCUAAAAC